rfam:Picoides pubescens contig127436, whole genome shotgun sequence.
AGCUUUGCGCAGUGGCAGUAUCGUAGCCGAUGAGGUUAAUCCGAGGCGCGAUUAUUGCUAGUUGAAAACUUUUCCCAAUACCCCGCCAUGACGACUUGAAAUAUAGUCGGCACUGGCAAUUUUUGAGAGCCUCUCUGGAGG